rnacentral:tRNA from 1 species
ACCUGGCUGGCUCAGUCGGUAGAGCAUGUGACUCCUGACCUCAGGGUUGUGAGUUCAAGCCCCACGUUGGGCG